AUUGAACGCUGGCGGCAGGCCUAACACAUGCAAGUCGAGCGGUAGCACAGGAGAGCUUGCUCUCUGGGUGACGAGCGGCGGACGGGUGAGUAAUGUCUGGGAAACUGCCUGAUGGAGGGGGAUAACUACUGGAAACGGUAGCUAAUACCGCAUAAUGUCGCAAGACCAAAGAGGGGGACCUUCGGGCCUCUUGCCAUCAGAUGUGCCCAGAUGGGAUUAGCAUAGUAGGUGGGGUAACGGCUCACCUAGGCGACGAUCCUUAGCUGUUCUGAGAGGAUGACCAGCCCACCUGGAACUGAGACACGGUCCAGACUCCUACGGGAGGCAGCAGUGGGGAAUAUUGCACAAUGGGCGCAAGCCUGAUGCAGCCAUGCCGCGUGUAUGAAGAAGGCCUUCGGGUUGUAAAGUACUUUCAGCGAGGAGGAAGGCAUUGUGGUUAAUAACCACAGUGAUUGACGUUACUCGCAGAAGAAGCACCGGCUAACUCCGUGCCAGCAGCCGCCGUAA
rnacentral:rRNA from 1 species